UCUGCGUCAUUACACAAGUACAGUUGCACUGCUUCAGGACAAAAACUGGGACAGGCACAGCGGAAUGGAGCAUGCUGCAGAGACUGACGAGCUCAGGAGUUUAAUAUCCAUCAUACAACCCAGGCUUAACCCCCCAUGGCAGGGAGAAGCUAUGGACUAAUAGUAACUCGCUUCAUGCUGCUCCUGUUCCUGCUGUGUCAGAUGAUGGUGGGAAGUGGCUCCCAGUAUCACCCUGUUUGCAGAGAGCUUUUUUCCCAGUUCAGAAUAUUGUCUUGUGCCCAUUAAUUUUUUGGAUCUUUGAGGCUUUUAAGCAUUCUGAUCUUAGGCCCGGGAAUGGGAUUUCUUAAAUAAAGCCUGAACGAUACAAGUUAAAUGCAAACUUCACAGUAAAACAAAGCUGCCAUUGAUGUGCAUGACAAAAUGUGAUAUUGUGGCUGGCAUACAUAGCAGCACGAGCAAAUAACAGAUGCAUAAACAUCUUUAAUGCUUUAUGAGGCCUUGAAGGAUAUUUCCAGACCUGUCAGGUUUGGAGUUUUUGCAUGUGAGGAUUCCCCAUCUGGCACUGAAAGAAAGGAAAUCAAGAAAGGAAAUGGGAAUGUUUUUGACAUGUCUCUUAAUCAUUAACCUUCUCAGUGGAUGCUUCAUUUAAUGACGCUGACCAUUGUAUUUGCUUUGAUGCUCUGCCCUCUGGACUAUGGCAGAGGCUGGGCCAUCUCUGGUGAAGAUACAGAAGAUGAGGAUCCUACAUGUGAUGGCCCAGGACUACUGGAGGGGUUUCUGAAACUGGAUUCUGGGUAGAUAAACCAGGUACCGUCAGUGCAACAGUGCUGGGAAAUUAUUACACGAGGCCUUGCCAAAGGCUCCAUCAAGACAGGAGCAGCACGGCAGGACUGGGCAGGGGAGCAGCACAGACACCACACACGUUCUCCUCCCGGCUCUUCCACGCCGCGAGGAAGCCCGGGCUGCGGGAGCACCGCUCCGCUCGGCAGCGGCCACCCGCGGCCGCGCUCCCACUCGGCCAUGGCCGCUGGCGCCGCGCACGCAGCGCCGCGAGAGGCCGUCCCCGGCCGGCGCUUGACGGACAGUCCGC
rnacentral:lncRNA from 1 species